rnacentral:rRNA from 1 species
AUUGAACGCUGGCGGCAUGCCUUACACAUGCAAAUCGAACGGUAACGGGCCUUCGGGUGCCGACGAGUGGCGAACGGGUGAGUAAUACAUCGGAACGUGCCCGAUCGUGGGGGAUAACGAGGCGAAAGCUUUGCUAAUACCGCAUACGAUCUACGGAUGAAAGCAGGGGACCGCAAGGCCUUGCGCGGGCGGAGCGGCCGAUGGCAGAUUAGGUAGUUGGUGGGAUAAAAGCUUACCAAGCCGACGAUCUGUAGCUGGUCUGAGAGGAUGAUCAGCCACACUGGGACUGAGACACGGCCCAGACUCCUACGGGAGGCAGCAGUGGGGAAUUUUGGACAAUGGGCGCAAGCCUGAUCCAGCCAUGCCGCGUGCAGGAUGAAGGCCUUCGGGUUGUAAACUGAUUUUGUACGGAACGAAAAGCCUUCUUUUAAUACAGGAGGGUCAUGACGGUACCGUAAGAAUAAGCACCGGCUAACUACGUG